rnacentral:rRNA from 1 species
CUGCGGAGGAUCAUUACAGUAGUCACCCAGGUUGCCGCAAGGCCUCCUGGGUAACCUACCACCCUUUGUUUAUUACACUUUGUUGCUUUGGCAAGCCUGCCCUCGGGCUGCUGGCUCCGGCCGGCGAGCGCUUGCCAGAGGACCUAAACUCUGUUUGUCUAUACUGUCUGAGUACUAUAUAAUAGUUAAAACUUUCAACAACGGAUCUCUUGGUUCUGGCAUCGAUGAAGAACGCAGCGAAAUGCGAUAAGUAAUGUGAAUUGCAGAAUUCAGUGAAUCAUCGAAUCUUUGAACGCACAUUGCGCCCCCUGGUAUUCCGGGGGGCAUGCCUGUCCGAGCGUCAUUACAACCCUCAAGCUCAGCUUGGUAUUGGGCCCCGCCGACCCGGCGGGCCCUAAAGUCAGUGGCGGUGCCGUCCGGCUCCGAGCGUAGUAAUUCUUCUCGCUCUGGAGGUCCGGUCGUGUGCUCGCCAGCAACCCCCAAUUUUUUUCAGGUUGACCUCGGAUCAGGUAGGGAUACCCGCUGAACUUAAGCAUAUC